GCUUGGUCGGGAGGGUUUCUUUCUUCCUUUUUUUUUUUUUUUUUUUUUUUUAAAUUCGCGGUCCGCCCCACGCCCGCUGGCUCCCUCACACUUUCCGCCGCCGCCCUCGCGGGUCCCGGGCUCUGUGGCUUCCCACGUCUCUAGCUUGCGGGUGUCGGUACCGGCCCCGGAGGGGACUUGGAGCAGGGGCCCGGAGCAGCCCCGGGGAGGGGACUGUUGCGAGUCUGGGGCCCCGCUCCGGGGACUAGGACGCUGGGGACCCCCGCCCCCGCCCCCCGGACUCGCCCCCGAGUGGGGGCCCAGGCUCCCGGCUCUACAACAGCCGGCCAGCAAACAGCGUCGCUGAGCACCUGCUCUGAUACUUAGGCGCAGCCGAGCUUCACACAGCCCUACUGUGUGCCGGGGGCCGUGCCGCACGCUGGGGCCUCCCUGCGCCUCGGGGCCACGCGCCGAGACCCGCGCGAGAGCCACGGGCGAGCAAGCCCCUCUCCCACAAGCGCCGGCCCCCUGCCGGGGCGCCGCGUGCGGACGCAAACUUCUCUCCGGGCUUUGAUGGCGCGGACCGACGCUAGCUAGCGCCCCGGGGCACGGCGGAAGGCCCUGCCCGCAAGUCCGAGCUCAGGCUCACUCCUGGGCUGCAAGGGCUCGCUCCCGGAGCCUCGCCGCACCAGCGCGGCUGUGCGCACGGGCACGGGCACAGUCACCCGCAGGCGCGCCCGACGCGUGCCCAGGCAGAGGCCGAGAGGAACGGGCGCAGACACCAGCCCCGGGCGCGGUCCCUGACGCGCUCACGCACUCUCGCAGGUCCCCCAGCUCGCACGGAGGUGCUGGCGAGGGGGACACAGGGACCCACACGGACUCCCGGACUUCACGUGGCCCUAGGAGAGCCCCAAGGACUGGUGGUUCCCUCAAAGGGGAAGCGAAGUUUCAGAGAAAAAAUCUGAGAAGAAAUAGAUGAAACGUAGAACCCAGAGGCUGAUGCUCACCCAUCUUUCCUGUCCUCCAACAUGGAAGAAAGUUAUGGUACUGUUGUAAACCCAAUCCCAAAGUCUGUUGCUAUGGAACUCUAUUCUCAUGGGGUGAAAAUGAAUGCUCUGCCUUGCCUAAGGACAUGGACGGAGUUGGCAAAAGUAGGAGAGAGGAGAACUCUUGAGUUUUCUUAGGCUUGCUGUCUCUUCAGAGUUAGGCUUCUUCUGGCUUCCAGUUCUGAGAAGCAAGAUGGAAGACAACAAUUCUAUUUUAGAUUGCUGAAGGAAAAGACUUUAGGAAGAAGCUGACAGACUCCAUGUCCCUCUCCUCAGCUUGCUACAUUAGAGGUUUGGGGGAAUUUCCCUUUGGGUGACAUGUAGGACUUUCUUUUUCUUUUCCUUGGUUAAACUGAAUUGCCCCAAUUCCAGUGGAUAAGCUCCUUUAUUCCAUAUUGUCUGGUCUAUAUUCUCUUAAGUAUACUUUCUCUCAAUUGUUUUGCUAUUGAAUUGGAUGAAUGGGUUUCUUUGAUAAUUGCUAAAUGUAUUCAUUGAGGGACUGGUAUUUGGU
rnacentral:lncRNA from 1 species